rnacentral:lncRNA from 1 species
CUUGCCCUGUUCCAAGGACUGUCUCACACACACACACCCUCAACACACACACACGCGCACAUGCACACACACACACACACACACACACACACACACACACACACACACCCGCGCGUUCCCGGCAGAGGAGGACCCCGAGUUCACAAGACGCGGCUUCCUGGCCGCAUUCCGGAGAAGGAGCUUUGCGCCGCAAGUCCCAUCCCCCGGUCGUCCGGCUCAGGAAACGCAGAGAAAGCCAGGAACCCGGCCUGCCAGGCCCCGGGGCCCUCCGCCCCGUCCUUCGGCUUCAGGAAGCGCGCUGGCGGGAACGCCCUGCCCGUGGGUGGGAAAAGCUCGAGCCGCUGCAUCGCGGCGUCCCUGGGUGCAGCGAGCUGUCACCGCCGCCGCCGCACGCCCCUGCCGCAGCCCCAUCCCUGCGCCAGUGCGGCAGCCGCGUGGCCGGGAUCCUGCAGGCGCCACCGCGCGGGGGUGCAGGCAGGGAAGGCGUGGACCCAGAGCUCGCUUUGAGGGGGCGACCUGCUUAGGGUGUGUGGGUGAGUGCUCCACUGGGUCGCUAGGACAUUGCUAGACCGGUUGGCAUUAGACUCCGGGUGUCUCUUUGAGUCUCAACUUGUGCUUGGCUCCCGGAAAUUUAGUUUCUUAAUGGUGGAGAUCUCAAAAACUGUUCCGGACCUAGAGACUACUGUGAUGGGCAGACCGUGAUCCCUUUUCACCAAUGAGAGUCAAGGAAGAAAAAGAUGGAGGACAUGAAAGGGCGGUGCUUUCGAGUAUAGCCUGAGCGUUGGAACCAGUCAUUCCCGGGCUCAGGACCCAGCUUUCCCCCUUACUGUGUGAUCUUAAGUAGGUUCCUUAACUUCUCUGAGCUUCCGGGCCAUGUCCUUUUUAAAGAGUCUUUCAACUCUAAACCCAGUUAGGUUUCCCCACUGCACCCUUCUAGCCCACAUGGCCUGAUUCCUUGAGACACUUAGUGUCAAUAGUAUUAAACAAUUGUUAAUCGGUGCCUUGUCUUUCCACUUCAGAAGCACACAAAGUUCAGGAAGAUAGGGACCUUCGCUAAAGUAAGACUGUGUAGCGCUGACACGCGUUAAACAUCCAGGCAUUUGUUGCGAAGUGAAGAGCGAAGGGAUGCAGAGAUGCGCGCCAGAUGCCGCUUUAAGGGCGGAAAAGCACCAGAAAUGAAUAAACACCAUUCCUAUCGUCAAGGAGGUCCCAGACUGGCUAGGAAGGGGAAUGAAACGGACUUGUGCAAAGAAGAUGGUCCUAAGUGUGUGCUAACAGGGCUUAAACAGGCCUGGAGAGAAACACUAAUGGGGGAGCAGCCGGAAAGACAGAGUUGAGAGACACCGGGUCCCUAGAGUGCUGGGAUAAUGGAUCUCACUUCCAUCACAAUGUACAAAGUACUUAGUUUGCAUAAAGUAUGGACGUACCUUUUUUAUCCUAAGGAAGUGGGGGAAUUGAUGGAGACUACCGACUUGUUCAAGUCCUCCUCCCCUUUUGGAGGCGGGGAGCUGCGCUGAAGAUGAAUUCCCAAAGCCUUGUGCACGCUGAUGACCAUUGAGAUAGAUACAUACAUCCUCAGCUUUAAGGCCUCAGCUACUCAUGCGCACCACUUUUGGUUUAGGUCCAAAUAAACUGGUGAUUUUAGGUAAGGAGCAUUGCUUCUCUGACUUGCUUUACCUCUAAGCCUGUUUGCCAAAACUAGAAAGAGUAAUAAAGGCUUCCUAUAAC